GACGAACGCUGGCGGCGUGCUUAACACAUGCAAGUCGAACGAAGAGCGAUGGAAGCUUGCUUCUAUCAAUCUUAGUGGCGAACGGGUGAGUAACGCGUAAUCAACCUGCCCUUCAGAGGGGGACAACAGUUGGAAACGACUGCCAAUACCGCAUACGAUCUAAUCUCGGCAUCGAGGAUAGAUGAAAGGUGGCCUCUACAUGUAAGCUAUCACUGAAGGAGGGGAUUGCGUCUGAUUAGCUAGUUGGAGGGGUAACGGCCCACCAAGGCGAUGAUCAGUAGCCGGUCUGAGAGGAUGAACGGCCACAUUGGGACUGAGACACGGCCCAGACCCCUACGGGAGGCAGCAGUGGGGAAUCUUCCGCAAUGGACGAAAGUCUGACGGAGCAACGCCGCGUGAGUGAUGACGGCCUUCGGGUUGUAAAGCUCUGUUAAUCGGGACGAAAGGCCUUCUUGCGAAUAGUGAGAAGGAUUGACGGUACCGGAAGAGAAAGCCACGGCUAACUACGUG
rnacentral:rRNA from 1 species